rnacentral:misc_RNA from 1 species
GAUGAAGAACGUAGCGAAAUGCGAUACGUAGUGUGAAUUGCAGAAUUCAGUGAAUCAUCGAAUCUUUGAACGCACAUUGCACCUCUCGGUAUUCCGGGAGGUAUGCCUGUUCGAGCGUCAUUUCAACCAUCAAGCCCCAGGCUUGCGUUGGAGCCCUGCGGCUGCCGCAGCCUCCUAAAAGCAGUGGCGGGCUCGCUAUCACACCGAGUGCAGUAGAUUACUCUUCGCUCAGGGCGUGCAGCGGGUUCCGGCCGUGAAACCCCCUACUUUUAAAGGUUGACCUCGGAUCAGGUAGGAAUACCCGCUGAACUUAAGCAUAUCAAUAAGCGGAAGGA